UGUUAACCAUUGUGAGCUCAUGAACUCAAAACUUUAGAAAUGCCCAACCGAGUAGUGUUACUAAAGAAUCUAUCAACUCAAAAAUAUGUUAAUCCAUUGUUUCCCUUCUCAUUACAGGUUAUUCUGAAUAUCGAACAACCAAUUAAGAUCGUAAUUAUCAUCAUGUUCUGCAGCAUCAGCUUCAGAAUCUUCAUCAUCAUCAUCUUCUGCAACAUCAACAUUUGAA
rnacentral:lncRNA from 1 species